rnacentral:rRNA from 1 species
GUGCCAGCCGCCGCGGUAACACCGGCAGCUCGAGUGAUGGCCGAUAUUAUUGGGCCUAAAGCGUCCGUAGCCGGUCACGGAAGUCCGUUGGGAAAUCUGCUCGCUCAACGAGCAGGCGUCCGGCGGAAACUCCGUGACUUGGGACCGAGAGAACCGAAGGGUACGUCUGGGGUAGGAGUGAAAUCCCGUAAUCUUGGACGGACCACCGAUGGCGAAAGCACUUCGGUAGAUCGGAUCCGACGGUGAGGGACGAAAGCUAGGGUCACGAACCGGAUUAGAUACCCCGGUAGUCC